UACGUAGGCCUCGAGCGUUAUCCGGAUUUAUUGGGCGUAAAGAGCAUGUAGGAGGCUUCGCAAGUCUUUGGUUAAAGACCACCGCCUAACGGUGGGAGUGCCGAGGAAACUGCGGAGCUGGAGGAGGUUAGAGGUGCAUAGAACCUAUGGUGUAGAGGUGAAAUCCGUUGAUAUCAUAGGGAAUACCAAAGGCGAAGGCAGUGCACUGGGACCUUCCUGACUCUGAGAUGCGAAAGCGUGGGGAGCAAAAAGG
rnacentral:rRNA from 1 species